GAUGAACGCUAGCGGCAGGCCUAACACAUGCAAGUCGAGGGGCAGCACGUCUUCGGAUGGUGGCGACCGGCGCACGGGUGCGUAACGCGUAUGCAACCUACCUCUUACAGUGGGAUAGCCCAGAGAAAUUUGGAUUAAUACCGCAUAGUAUACAGAUUCGGCAUUGGGACUGUAUUAAACAUUUAUGGGUAAGAGAUGGGCAUGCGUUCUAUUAGUUAGUUGGAGUGGUAACGGCACCCCAGACAGCGAUAGAUAGGGCCGUCGAGAGGGGAGUCCCCACCACUGGUACUGAGACACGGACCAGACUCCUACGGAGGCAGCAGUGAGGAAUAUUGGACAAUGGGCGAGAGCCUGAUCCAGCCAUGCCGCGUGCA
rnacentral:rRNA from 1 species